GGCCCCCCCCCGCCGCCAUGUUGGACACUGCGGUGCCGCCCGCAGCAACAUCGUUAAGUGUCUCAUUGCUUCCUUGAGCUGCUGAAAUUAUUUUCCAGCUGUGAAACAUCUGCAAGAAUGUUCAAAAAUGAAUAUCAGGGUGGCCCGUUUGUUGAAAUAUUCAGUGCACAAGGCAAGAAUCCAGGAGCAAAAUGGAAGAUCUUUGGCAGCCCAUCAGCAAUUUGGAAAGAGUUUGAUAAGGAGGUCAAAGGCUUUAUCUUUGUACUUGAGGGAAGCAGUCAAACCAACAAGAUGCAGUUACCAAAGGAAGCGAGACAGACUCUUGGACUAAUCCAGCAGUUUCUGGUACUUCAGAUUUAUGUACCAUUGGGACAAGACUUCUCCACUGAAUUACUAGUAACUGAUUUAGGAAAUACUAAAAGAAGAUUGUAUUUAUCAACAGUCCAGAAGGAGUUGUCUAUAACUCCUCUGCAUGCAAAAAUUCCUCUUUUUAUGAUCAAGCGCAAAAUAUGGUGUAAUCUGUGUAUUGACUUAGUAGCGUUCACCAGUGAAAUAUUCAAAGGCGCUGUCUUUCAGUCUUUGGAUGGAAUCAUUAUCUCAGCUAAUUGUAAACUCAGAAAGAUCUUCACUUUAAAAUCAAAGCCUCAAGAUACAGCUGAAGGGGAUGAGAUGCAUGGUUUAUUCACAGCUAAUGAACCCACUGAUGUCAUUCCUCGAGCCUGCCAAUUAAAUCUAGAUGUGCCACAAGUUACACAGCUGCUGAACAUGACUAAACUUCGCCAACCAGAAACAAGAUUUGGAAGUCAUCCCUUAACUUCAUCAGAAUCAGACCAGUUACUUAAUAGAGGACAAGGCAGUAUCCGCCACUGUAAAACUCAAGAUGUGUCACACAUUGCAUUUGGAUCCAAGGUCCUUGGACCACCUCCACCUUCUGGCAGAAGACUUAGUACCAGGGCAUCUGGAGAGAUAAAACCUGUGGGGAGCCGGAGUAAUAGAUCAUGCCAACAAUCAACCUUAGAAAAGGGAAGCGAAUUGCUACAGCAUGCUGAGCAGUCUGAACUGUCACCCUCGCCAUGCUCCGAGCCUUUAGACCAGGGAGACAAAGAAAAUAUUCACCAAACAAAUCAAACUGCAAGUCAAAACGCAGAUCGUCACACCGUGAAGCUCCAUCUACCCCAAGAAUCAUUACCAGACAGGACCAUUCAUAGAAGAUACUGGUUAAAAAAUACUGGCAAAACCCCCCCUGAGAUAAUCAAUGAUGAAUGGUUAUUUCCUGGAAGUCGCAGUGAACGUUCUUACAUGGAUCCCAGUGGGCAGUUGACUCAAUGUGCAACCUACAGGAACUUAGUCGUGCCAUUGGACAGAGAUGUUGAAGGUGAAAGCAAGCAAACAGGUGAACAGCAAAUCGGCCAUAAACAGAUUUUCACAUUUUCAUCGAAGCCUCGAUCAGCUCCUCGUGGGAAGUCCCCGAGUAUGUCACCAGAAAGGUGUACAUUUCCCUUGGAUGUAGAUGAGACCUGCAGUGGGCUCCGCAGAGAAGCCCAAAUGGAAGAUGACUUCUAUGGAACUGACAGCAGUGAAGAGGAUGACCUCAGUGAGUCCAUGCAGAGCCCUCAAACCAUCAAGAUCAGUCAUGGUACAUCGUUUGAUUUGCCAGUGUUAAAAGUGAUCCCGUUAAAGACGAUGUCAGGAAGUCCCGAACACUGGAAGAGUGAAGGAUGGAGCAGGUGUACCCACGUGGAAACAGUGUCCUCAAAAACAGGAGGCUUACUUGUGAAAAAAGUAGAUGCUAAUAACACUCAGAGCAGCUUGAUGCCCACCCCCUGUCUUUCUCCAACUGGAAAUAAACCUGACUGUAAAGAAAUCCCAGAGGCCUCUGAAAAGGCGAAGGGGAGUGCAGUUGGUCAGUUAAGAGCAUCAAAUAGUAAGAAGUCCCUCAAAAAAAUCUCAAGAGAAAAUUCAACUCCGGCAACUGAGACAUCUGCAUACGACUGGAGAAAAUACCAGCCAAGUGGCCUGAGCACGUCUGAACUGCAGAUGUUGGCCAGCAUGAAGAGGCAGCAAAGUGAAGACUCUGAGGAUAACGGGGUCCCACAUGGGCUGAGCGCCUCUCAGAUCGACACCUGCAACGUCAGCAUCAGCACGAGCAGCGACGACACGACGACCUGGAACUCCGGCCUGUCACCCCCUGUCAAUCAAGGUCGUCACUACCAGAAAGAAAUGAACCCACUUUCUCAUUCCAACCCACGCCACAACGCACAGUCAUUUGCCGUGGGUCAUCUUGUCGUUAAUCUGAAUUAGAAAGGAUCUGCUGCACUUGUCACAGAAAAGAAGUCGCACACAAGAGAAGUCGGUUAUACAGAAAGCACCUUCUUGAAAACCGAGAAGUUUUGAGUGUGUUGGUCCAGCAGUUCUCGCACAAACCACGCGAGGGAGUCCUGGAGAAAAGUAUGUGGCUUUCCAUUGUCUGAGUCCGGGGACUUUCCUUUGCCCACUUCCUCCCCUGCUUUGGAAAGACUUGGGUACAUCAGAGUUAGGCAUCCCCAGCUGGACUAUUUAAAAUACCUUUCUUCUGCCCCCUCUUACGUGCCAUGCCCAUCCAAAAUAACAUCUCUACCUCAGAGAAAUCCCUGGUGCCCCAUUCAUUGAAAAAUAUGUUUCAAAACCAUCUACAGAGCUGAACUCUGACCUGCCCGUAUUGGCACACGCCUUGUCCUUGAUGAUGGGCUGCACCCAGGAUCCCUCGUGCCACUUCGGAAGUGUAGGGCUAUUCCAGGCUGGACGUACUGCAAGACAGGCAUCAACCGGAGCCCCCGCCGGGGCUGCCCAUCCCUGCGCCAAGACUGGGCCGGCAGCUGGCACCCCAGGGCCCAACAUGUAGAAAGUGUUCAUGCAUUUCGCUGUGGCACCGUCCAGAUUGAAGCCCUUAGCAGGUGUGACCUCUUCCCUGCUCCUGCAGUAUCUGCCUCCUCUCUCCCGGGCAGGCCCUCCCUGGGGUUGGGGUAACAGUUUCUCUGCGUCCCUCUAUCACAACCCCAGUUCUUCAGCAUUGUACCCGACAUUUCACUCGUUCUCCCUUGCUGAAACCUCUUGACCAGUUUUCCCUCUCUCAGUUAUUACUUAGCUCCAUGAGGCAGUGGUGCGUCUAUUUGGUCUCUCUGCGAGGCGAUGUCACAGUAAAACACAGCUGUAUUGUUCCAGUAACCGGCUACACUCUGAACAGCUGCUUUCUGUUACUUAGCCUUUCGUGUCGUGUGGCACCAUAAGAGUGGAGGAUGCUGUCGCUGCUCCCUGUCAGCACCGCGCCAGACCUGUGCCAGGUUGAGAGUACGGAGAGACCCGCACUUUCUGGGACGUGGUGAAGUCUGGAAAGAGGUCCUGAGCAUGCGUGGUUGGCCUCGUCUCCCUCCAGAUGUUCCUGGGCCUUGCCUUGCCUUGCCAGCACUCAGCACACAUGUAGAGACGUGGCAUAUUCCCGCUGAAAUCAUUCGUCUCCUUCUCCCACUGCCUUCGGGCAGACAAAGCUUGUGCAGCAGACAGAAGUAAGUUUAGGCUGGAAAUUGGAAGAGGAUUUCUAAUAGUCAGAGGAAGGAGCCUGGAACAGCUCUCCAGAAGGAGCAGCAAGAGCAAAACACAGGAGAAAAUGAAAACCCUGCUAGCUUUGAGGUGGAACCUAGUCGUUUCUUUGCCUGGGUGGAUGGGCAGGCUGCGGCUGUGCGAUACCAGGGACCUGGACCCCAGUGACCCAGCGGGGCCCUUCCAGCCCUGUGUCCCGUAGACUGGCUAAACGUGUUCAGCCCGCCCAUCAUCCCGCCGAGCCAGCAGCUAGCUGGGCACACCAACCCGCCUGCAAGUCUAGGCGCUCCAGGUGAAGAUGACUUCAGUGCUGAAGAUGAUGAGGAAGUCUUGAC